CUCCUUACGAAAGAAUGGAGUGUCAUUCUGAUGUUCCAUGCAGUGCUGGAUUGGCUGGUAUGCAGUCUGGUGAGGGCGGCCCUGGCCAGACCAGCAUUUAUUGCGCAUCCCUAAUUGCCCAGAGGGCAGUUGAGAGUCAACCAGAUUGUGGUGGGUCUGGAGUCACACAUAGUCCAGGCCAGGUUAAGUCCAUCGCCACGUCAAGGUGAUCUCGAGGCAGGUACAUCAGUGAUGCCAAGUAGCAGACAAUCGCACUGAGCUAUUCCCACCAGCAGAGAACAAGGAAGUUAAAAGCACUGAAUCCCUUAAUUUCUACUUCAACGUGUCGGGCAGCAGAGUAAAUGUAUCGGAUUGGACUAAGAAAGGAGCC